rnacentral:rRNA from 1 species
UACGUAGGUGGCAAGCGUUAUCCGGAAUUACUGGGCGUAAAGCGCACGCAGGCGGUCUCUUAAGUUUGACGUGAAAGCUCCCGGCUUAACUGGGAGAGGUCGUUGAAUACUGGGGGACUUGAGGCAAUGAGAGGGGUGUAGAAUUCCCGGUGUAGUGGUGGAAUGCGUAGAUAUCGGGGGGAAUACCAGUGGCGAAAGCGGCACCCUAGCGUUGUUCUGACGCUCAUGUGCGAAAGCGUGGGGAGCAAACAGG